UAACAAUGCCCAAGUUGCAAGACAACAUAGAGGAAGAGGACGAGGACAAAGAUGACGACAACAACAAAGACAAGUAAUCUCAGACCCUAGUUCAUCAUGUGCUCAUACGUGGGAGGACUAUGAGAGAAGCUGGACAGCUAGCACAACCAAACCUAAGUCAUUACACGGUUGCAUCCAUUGUCCGUACAUUCAGAAGGGCUAACGGAACUGAGAGGCGGCCAUCUAUUGGAGGUAGGCGGAGACUUCUCACAGCUGAGCAGGAGACUGCCCUGGUGAAUAUGGUGAUUGACAGUAAUGUCAUCCGUUUGAGGGACAUUGAAACCCAAAUCGUUGAAGACCAGGUAGUCUUCCAAGGAAUUGACAGCAUCAGCACUUCCACCAUUGACCGGAUCGUUCAGAAGAACCACAUAAGAACAAAGCAGCUGUACCAUAUGCAUUUUGAAAGGAAUUCAAACAGAGUUAAGGAGCAACGAUUCCAUUUUGUGCAGGGCUCCAUCUGAAUUCACCCGCCGACGUUCCUCUGCACUGCCACGCACAACUUUUUCUCAGCUGGCACAAUUUGAUUUGCUGCUGUCCGAUUCAAACUGUAAGCUGUUAAAUGAAGAGUUGAUGCCCUGCACAAGUCAUGUGACUCGAGUCCACACCUCUGUGUACUGCAGUUACUGUAACAAAUGACCAAUCUUUCAUUCAAGUACAGUAGUACACUACUGUAUUUGUAGUAUAGUGUGUUUUUGGACUUCUGUAGAGAAUCUUUUAGCUGGAUGCCAUGGCUGACCCACAGGAGUACAUCUUCAUCGACAAGGCAGGUUCAACCUGACAAAAAGGCGCAAAAGGGGACGCAACCUCAUUGGUCACCGUGCCAUAAUACAAGUUCCUGGCCAGACGGGAGGCAACGUCACCCUAUGUGCAGCCAUCAGCAAUCGUGGCUUCCUCCACCGCCAUGUCAAAUUGGGUCCAUACAACAAGGCACAACUCCUUCAAUCAGCUGCACAAUAACAUUCUUCAACAGGAAGGGGAGCCAGGGCAACCAGAGCAAGCCCAAUAUGUUGUCAUUUGUUAUAACAUGAGUUUCCAUCGGGCUGCUCUGGUUCGCGUCUGGUUCAAUGACCACACCACCGUUCUUUUUUUCUUUUUUUGCCAGCAUAUUUCCCAUUUCUGAAUCCGAUUGAGUAAUUUUUCUCAGCAUGGGGUUGGAGAGUGUAUGACAGCAACCCCUCUGCUCAGCAAAUCCUCCUGGAGGCAAUGGUGGACACCCGUGGUGAUGUGUCAGUGGAGUCUAUCCAGGGUUUUCUAAGGCACAUAAGGGCAUUUUUCCCACGCUGCCUGGCAAGAGCAAACAUAAUGUGUGAUGUUGAUGAGAUAUUAUGGCCUGAACCAGACCUGAG